AGGAAAUUGAAACUGGGAGCUUUGGGGACUUGCCGGAGCAGGUGAGAAUGACUCUCACACCGAGACUCCUAGAGACAUCCCGCUCCCUGAUAAUCACAGUGGUUCAGUUCUCAGAACACGGGCUUUCCUUACCUUGCCACUAUUGACACUUGGAGCCAGAUAAUUCUUGGUUGUGAGGAUCUGUCCUGUGUGUUGUAGUAUGUUUUGUAACAUCUUUCCUUUGCCUACAAGGUGCCAGUAGCAAUCCCCCUAGUUAUGUCUCCAAACAUUGCCUAAAAUCUCCAGGAGGACAACAUCAUCUGAUUGAAAACCACUUGACUAAUGGAAUCGGGCUCCAUGACAAACGGCUUCUCCCGUUUACCUGGUUUACUCUUUCCUGUCUGCGUGCCAACAGGGGCCUCAAUUUUUUUUGUGUGUGUGACAAAUUAUAAAAAGCUACAGUGAAUUUGCCUUGCACUACGUCCUGACAGCAUAAUCAAAUAACAGUUUUCAACCUACUGCCUGCACAGCAAGAAGACAAAGUGUGUAAGGACGGGAGCCACAUUUUUUUUCCUUUAAUAAAUCUUCGUUCAGUGAAUGAAAAAGUGGAUUGCUGCUGCUAACCACGAGCCAAGCAGGUUACAGACUCUACACACAUUAUACAGUUUCAUUCCCCAACCACCUAUGCAUUACAUAUUAAAAGGCCUGUUUCUGAAAGGCAGAGUGUAGAGGAUUUGUAGGGCAGUGAAAAGGUAUCCAUAAUCAGUGAUCUAUUGCCAAACCUUAACAGGAAGUCACAUGGCCAAGGAGAACACGGUUUGUGGAGUUCCAGCACCAGCCUCAAAGCAGAGCAUGGAAGGAAGAGAAAAAAAUCUGUGCUAUGGACAGAAAGCAAGAGGAAGCAUCAAAGGUGCUGAUGGUGAAGGAGGAUAUGCUAUGAGACAAAACCUUGACAAGAUGUAUUGGACAGCAGAGCUUCUCACAUUUGAACAAGCAUAAGAAUCUCUGGGAGAACAUGUGAACGCAGAUACCCAGGCCUUCACCUUGGGAGAUUUUAAAUGAGUAGGUCUAAGGUGGGACCCCAAAAACCUGCAUUUCUGAUGAGCUAUGCUGAUCCGGUGCACUCUGAGCAGAUCCAUGCAGCACUUUCAGGCUUCCUUUCUCUGCAGCUUUCAGCUUCAAGACACCCUGGGACUCUGCCCUCUCUUGGCUUUCUAGAAAUACCACACUAUUCUAAUUCCUCAGUCUCAUUUCCAAAGUCAUCUCUUUCCUCUUUGUGUCCUUUUCCUCUCAAACUAUGAGAUAUCCAGGGCUUGACUUUCUGACCACUUGCUUUCUGCAGGAUACAUGUGAAAAUAAUUUAUAUCAAUAUUUCUAGACGGAUCCACUGGCUCCUCCCAGGCCAUGUAUUGUCAUUCCUGCUAUAUCUACUUGGAAAUCUCUUCCUAGUUGUCUGUGCCUUCUACCUUACCUGAAAAACACCUGUCCUUUAUUUCUCCCCCAAAUCUAGAGUCUUCCUUGACUGAUGUGGGACCCCACAGUCUCUACCCCUCACAGUUCAACAAAGGAGGGAGUACUUGUCCGUUCAUAACAUCACAAUCCAAAAUGUGCUCCUUGAUUGAAUCUGGAUUUGAAAAUAUCAGUGUUAAAAAUAUUUGAGAACAAGCGGGGAAAUUUGAUAGUGGACUGGGGUGUGUAAGAUGUUAUUAAAGGAUUAUUAGGUUUUUUUGAGUAACAUAUUGGGGUCAUGUGGGAAAAUGUACUUUUUCUAGUAGAAAAAUAGACCUCCAAACUAUUUUUUAGCUUAAAUUGUCCUGACCCCAUCACCUAAGCGAUGUAAUAGGGGAACAUGACUAAUUCAUUAGAGUUGCUAAAGCUGUUUGCCAUGCCACUGUGAGCAGUUUAAAGGAUAACUAAUAAAAUAUUAACUUAGGUGGCAUGUCCAGAGGACACUUAAUAUAAGACUAUUUUCUUUAUUAGAAAAGUGAAUAUGGAUAUUUUUGAAGUCUGCUUGAAGAUAAUUCUGACUAUUCAUUUUUUUGUCCUGAACAGAAUGUACUCUGAGGUUGAAAAUGGUCUUGAUUUUCAAAAAUAGAGUAGUCUGGAUAUAGAUCAUAAACAUGUAGCUGAGUGCUGAAAAGAAAAAUGAGAUUUUGUAAAAAGGGGAUAAUUUUCAAGUUGACAAACAUUGGUGAACUUCAGGGCCCAGGGCCAUUUCAGAAUUCAGAGAGAUUAACAAGUAAUUACAUUUUUAUUGAGUGUCUAGGAUUGACAGACCUGGGGCUGAUGGAUUCUUGGGAGGUUACAGUCUAGGUGAGUGGGAGACAUGCAUUUGUGGAAUGGUCCAGACAACAGAUGGAGUCACUAAGAGCUGCCAACACUGUAAAGCCCUGGUUUACAAACUUGACUGCAUUUUGGACUCGCAUGGAGAGGUUUAAAAAAUACUGAUGCCUGGGUCCCAACUCUUGUGUGUCUGAUUUAGUUGCCCUGGGGUGUGUCCUGUGCAUCGGAUUUUCAAAAUUCCCCAGGUGAAUCUAAUGUGCACUUAAGGCUGAGAACAAGUGUACAGAAGUCCAGGAUCAAUUCCAGCUGGAGAAUUUGACUUCCUGGACUAGGCUCUGUGCCUGCCCUCGAGGAGCUCUCUAAUUGUUUUACUCUUUCUCCUCCCCUGCCUCUCAUCAUUUGUUCUACUUAGAAAUUUUUGUCUUUCUUGCUUGAAAGUGAACUAACCACAACAAACAAAGGGAAAUAAAUGAUUAUUACACCCAGGCAGCAAACAAGCACUACCAAUGAUAGAGAUCUUGGUUUAUGCAAGUAGCUCAGUAAACAAAUGCUGUGUUAAAAGCUGAAAGAAUGCCCUCCCUCUACUGCUAGAACAAAACAUCAUCCAUGUGUCGGCCUGUGGUCUGAUGAGUGAUUCAACUUUCUUCCUCCGAGACUUUGUUGGUGUCUGAUAGAUGCCACUAGAGGCUAUGUUCUAUUCCAGCCUGUUUGAAAUGCAAAGACUUGCGUAGCAAAAUUAUCUCACUCUAGGAAAAUAGACAAGUGGUCAGUAAACUAUGGUUCUGUGGGCCAAAUGCAGCCCACUUACUGUUUUGUAAAUCAAGUUUCACUGGAACAUAGCCAUGCCCAUUCAUUUACUUAUUGUCAAUGGCUGCUUUUGCACUACAGCGACAGAGUUGAAUAGUUGUGAAAGAGCCUGACUGACAGGCCUGCAAAGCCAAAAAUGUUGUCUAUCUGGUCAGUUACAAAAAAAAAAAAGAAAAUAGUUGCCAAUCCCUGUAAUAUAGGCAUUUUCAUGCUGUCUUGUUAGCAUUUGCCUGCUGUGGUCAAUCAAUUUGAAAAAUGUCUCCAGUUCUUCACUCCUCCCUAUAUCUGUCUCAUUUUCAAUGUGACUGCAACUCCCCUCACCUGGGCACGGAGCCAGUUUCACCAGCCAUUGCAUCUGUGUUGGCCUGAGAGUUAUUUUGACCUAGAAUGCCAAGAAAGUGACACUGUAUCCACCCUGAGCUGAGACUUCAAGAGGCUUUUCAGACUUUCACUUGCUCUGUUAGCAUCCUGACUCUAUGAAUAAGCUUAGGCUAGCUUUCUGGAUGAUGGGAGACACACAGCCCAGGUUGCCCCAUUGCCUUAGCCAACAGUCAGACAGUCUUCCAAAGCAGAAUUGCCUUCUAAACUGCAACUGACCACAGGUGCAUGAAUGAGCCUGAUCAAGACCAAAAGAAGGGCCCAGCUGAGCACAGCACAAAUUGUCAACCUGCCGAUGCAUGGACUAUAUACAUGUUUGAUGUUUUAACCCACCACAUUCGAGAGUGGUUUGUUGUACAGUAAAAGCUAACUGAUUCACCUGUCAUUAGGAAUUAAGCCAACUAAUUUUGUGGUAGGAUUUCCUUUUUUCCUUUCUUUAUUCAAAGCCAGAAUAUCUCAGUCUUGUCCAUAAACCUCAAUCUGAAAACAGAGAGAACAAUGCAAAGAAAGAAAAACUUUAUGAUGAUUCUAUGACACUUUCACCAAACACUAAGAAAACAAACAUAAAAUGAACAACUUGGUUUUCAAACAGAAAUAAUAAAUCUGUAAGGGCCCACAUAUAAAUAUAUACUGACAGCAUUUGAAGGUAAAGAAAAAAAUAUAUACGUAUAUAAAAAAUUAAGCAAGAAUAAAACCAAUGGUUGAAGAAAUUGUAAUAAAAAAUUACCAUGUGCCAGGCACUGGUCAUGCCAGAGGUAUGACAAUGAAUGAGAAGCAUGAAGUCCCUAAUCUCCCCUAAAGCACAUUCUUGUGGAGAAGGACAGACUACAAAGAAGUGAACACAUAAACAAGAUAUAAUAUAGCACAAACAUUUAGGAAAACAAAAAUGCAGUAAUGUGAUAAAUCUUAGUAGGCUAUUAUAUACACUUUAUGUAUAUAUAUAAUACAGGCUUAUAUAUAUAAUAUAGGCAUAUAUAUAUUCUCUAUUAUUAACUUAAUUUAGUGACAAACCAUUAAGCUUCACCUUUCCAUUAGAUGCUUUUUCUGCCUAAAGGACUCUACACUUAGAUGGCUGCAUGAAGUAUCUGGGUCUCAGUUAAAUGUCAGUUCUUCAUUGAAGCCUUCCCUGAUGAGCCAGUUUAUAAUAGCCUACUAAGAUCUAUCACAUUACUGGAUUUUAGCUUUUCUGAAUAUUUUUGCUAUAUUAUAGUGUCUGUUUAUUUAUGUGUUCACUUCUUUGUCAUCUGUCCUUCUCCAAAAGAAUGUGCUAGGGACUUCAUGCUUCUCAUUCAUUGAUGUAUCCCCAGAAUGACCAGUGCCUGGCACAUGGUAAUUUCAGUUACAAUUUCUUCAACCAAUGGUUCAUUCUUGCUUCUCAUGGAUACAACAUCAUUUUAUCUGAAAAAAAUAAGUACCCCCAGUCCAUGACUAUUUUUGAGCAAAUGAGGAUAGUAACAGUAUAAGAUUUUUAGUGGCAUUUUCAAUGAAAGAAUUAUACAACAAUCCCUGAUUACUCUUUGUCUUUAUGUGUCCAUAAUUUUACUGCUAACACUAAGAGAGUGUAUCUUGCUGUUAUCAACUCUGGCCACAUCUUCACAAGUACAUAUAGCAGGUCACUAUUUUGUUUUACAAACAGAAGUUGAUUAAGUUGUCCAUUCUGUAGGACCCACAACAAACCACAGCCCAAUAUAGCAGCAGAAUGUAAGGAUUUAGAAGGCCUAAAAUCUACAAGCUCAGGAAGACACCCAAUUAACAGAAAUUAAAGUUCAAAUCUGACUCAUCCACCUACUGGAAAUUCUGGGCUGUCAAACAAUAUCCAAGCUUAUUUUGCAAUCAGAUUAAAGCUCUGGGCCUUGUGGGGGCCGGAGAUUGGAAUUCUAUUUUAAAAAGAAACGUGUAAGGCACUCUGCUUCCCAUCAAGAAGUGUAAUGAGUAGGUUUCACCUAUGAUCCCCAGUCCCAAAUGAUUGAACUGGCAUUAGUGCCAAAAAAAUUGAAAAUGUCUUAACAUGCAUUAAUCGCUUAAUGGAUGUGUUGUCUGCCUGAAAAGGGCGGGGUGGUAUUUAGGUUGCUUAAUGACUUUACAUUUUCCCAUGGCAAAAUACUUGUGAUUUGAUUAUGCUGUAAUUAAAGAGUUACAUAAACAAUAUCUUUGGAAAGGAACAAACGGGCUUCCUUGAAAGAGGGAUUUUGGUCAGCUCCAGCUGGUAUCUCAGGCCCCUUCAUGAGGAGAAAACUCUCACCCCCAGAUUUUGGUUUGGCUGGCACAGAAGUAUGACCACAAGAUGGACCUAAAAUAUGCACAUUUGUAAGAUUUUCCCCCAUGGUGGGAUUCACACCAUCUGCUCCCCGGUUCUCUGAUCCAAUCUGUAUUCAUCACCAGAUUUCCUGGGUUUCUAACUUACAGACAACAAAUUGUGAGACUUCUCAGCCUCCAUAAUCACAUGAACCACCUUCUCUUAAUAAAUAUAUGUAUUUAUGUGCUGGGCUCAGUGGCUGACACCUUUAACACCAGCAAUUCAGGAGGCCGAGGUGGGCGGAUCACCUGAGGUCGGGAUUUAGAGACCAGCUUGACCAACAUGGAGAAACCCCAUCUCUACUAAAAAUACAAAAUUAGCCAGGACUGGUGGCUUAUGCCUGUAAUCCCAGCUAUUUGGGGGGCUGAGGCAGGAGAAUUGC
rnacentral:lncRNA from 10 species